UACCAGCACCCCGAGUGGUCGGGACGUUUAUUGGGCCUAAAGCAUCCGUAGCCGGUUCUACAAGUCUUCCGUUAAAUCCACCUGCUUAACAGAUGGGCUGCGGAAGAUACUAUAGAGCUAGGAGGCGGGAGAGGCAAGCGGUACUCGAUGGGUAGGGGUAAAAUCCGUUGAUCCAUUGAAGACCACCAGUGGCGAAGGCGGUUGCCUGGAGCUUUGCUGACGCUGAGGCGCGAAAGCGUGGGGAGCGAUCCGG
rnacentral:rRNA from 1 species